UUCAAUGACAAUUUAAUUACAGCCCGAACACCGAUUUCUAUUUACGUAAAUCGCGAUACAUAUUCUCGUAUUCAAAUCAAUAGAAACUGGAGUUCAUUAGAGACGAUGUUUAUUAAUUAAAAUCAUUAAUUUAAGAUAUCGAAUUUGGCAAGCUCCUUCCUUUAGGCGAUAUGACAACGCUUGAGCCAAAUAUUAAUAAUCCAAAGCUUUGGUUACUUAUUAUUGAAACGAAAAUUCUGGGCGCGUUUUCAAUACGUUGCUGACACUAAUAGGGCGUGUCCUUGACGGAGAUCGGACGUCGUGUGUGAGAGUGCACGGGAAUUGCUUAGUGCGGUAAGGACCUAAAAAUAUCCUUGGGCCCACGGUCUGCUCCCAACAUCUACAGAUCGUUAAGUGCCACACAUACCGGCGCGUCACCUAGCAUGGACAUCGUAGAAGUCUUCAUAACACAGGAGAAAUCAAUCAACCAACCAAUAAUGUCGGUAUCAAUAAAUGUAUAAACGUUCUAUGUAAGAAGUGAGAGAAAAACUACUGUCGAUUCAACUGGAGUGUACAUAAGUAUCACAUUUCAUAUGUAAUCUUCAGAACCAGAGUUACCAAAGUCAUUUUCCAAGAGACUGGCAGAGUAAUUGGAUGAGCUGGAACACCACAGGAAGAUGCCUCUUGUAUAUAUUACCCGUCUAAUCUACAAACUAUCCAACAUACGGGAGUAUGGAAUAUGGAAAUUAGAUCUCAAUUGCAAACGCACAUAAGCAUAAACUUGACAAUGCAAACCCUGCCUAAAUACUUACCUAACUUCGUUUGAAGAACGCCAUAUGUUUCUGAAAAAACAUCACAGUUAAUCCACCGUGUAAAAAUUUAAUGAAGUUUAGUUUAGUGAA